AGCUUUUCGGACCUGUGCUGAGAGUUCGUCAAACACCAACCCAUUAGGGCUGAUCGGACAUCCAAGAUAAGUGAAGUU
rnacentral:pre_miRNA from 1 species